rnacentral:rRNA from 1 species
UACAGAGGGGGCAAGCGUUGUUCGGAAUUACUGGGCGUAAAGGGCGCGUAGGCGGCCUGUUAAGUCGAACGUGAAAUCCCUGGGCUCAACCCAGGAACUGCGUCCGAUACUGGCAGGCUUGAAUUCGGGAGAGGGAUGUGGAAUUCCAGGUGUAGCGGUGAAAUGCGUAGAUAUCUGGAGGAACACCGGUGGCGAAGGCGGCAUCCUGGACCGGUAUUGACGCUGAGGCGCGAAAGCCAGGGGAGCAAACGGG